rnacentral:rRNA from 1 species
GAUGAACGCUGACAGAAUGCUUAACACAUGCAAGUCUUUGGCGAAGCUGUGCUUGCACAGCCUAGCCAAGGCGGACGGGUGAGUAACGCGUAAGGAACUUGCCCUGCAGUCAGGGAUAACAGACGGAAACGACUGAUAAGACCUGGUAAAGUCAGGCGGACUCAUGUCCAGCCUGAUGAAAAGAGAUGCUGCAGGAGAGCCUUGCGUCCUAUUAGCUUGUUGGUGGGGUAACGGCCCACCAAGGCGAUGAUAGGUAGCCGGCCUGAGAGGGUGGACGGCCACAAGGGGACUGAGAUACGGCCCUCACUCCUACGGGAGGCAGCAGUGGGGAAUAUUGGACAAUGGGGGCAACCCUGAUCCAGCAAUUCUGUGUGCACGAUGAAGGUUUUCGGAGUGUAAAGUGCUUUCAGCAGGGAAGAAAAAAAUGACGGUACCUGCAGAAGAAGCGACGGCUAAAUACGUG